rnacentral:rRNA from 1 species
UACGUAGGGUGCGAGCGUUAAUCGGAAUUACUGGGCGUAAAGUGUGCGCAGGCGGCCGCGCAAGUCGAGUGUGAAAGCCCCGAGCUUAACUUGGGAACUGCGCUCGAAACUACGUGGCUGGAGUGUGGCAGAGGAAGGUGGAAUUCCAGGUGUAGCGGUGAAAUGCGUAGAUAUCUGGAGGAACACCGGUGGCGAAGGCGGCAUCCUGGACCGACAUCGACGCUGAGGCGCGAAAGCUA